CAGUCGCCACGGUAAUACGUAGGUCCCGAGCGUUGUCCGGAUUUAUUGGGCGUAAAGGGAGCGCAGGCGGUUUAGUAAGUCUGAAGUUAAAGGCAUUGGCUCAACCAAUGUAUGCUUUGGAAACUGUUAGACUUGAGUGCAGAAGGGGAGAGUGGAAUUCCAUGUGUAGCGGUGAAAUGCGUAGAUAUAUGGAGGAACACCGGUGGCGAAAGCGGCUCUCUGGUCUGUCACUGACGCUGAGGCUCGAAAGCGUGGGUAGCGAACAGGAUUAGAUACCCCGGUAGUCCCUGUCUCUUAUACA
rnacentral:rRNA from 1 species